rnacentral:rRNA from 1 species
CCUACGGGAGGCAGCAGUGGGGAAUAUUGGGCAAUGGGCGCAAGCCUGACCCAGCAACGCCGCGUGAAGGAAGACGGCUCUCGGGUUGUAAACUUCUUUUAUCAGGGACGAAGCAAGUGACGGUACCUGAUGAAUAAGCCACGGCUAACUACGUGCCAGCAGCCGCGGUAAUACGUAGGUGGCAAGCGUUAUCCGGAUUUACUGGGUGUAAAGGGCGUGUAGGCGGGAAAGCAAGUCAGAUGUGAAAACCAUGGGCUCAACCUGUGGACUGCAUUUGAAACUGUUUAUCUUGAGUACAGGAGAGGCAGACGGAAUUCCUAGUGUAGCGGUGAAAUGCGUAGAUAUUAGGAGGAACACCAGUGGCGAAGGCGGCUUGCUGGACAGCAACUGACGCUGAGGCGCGAAAGCGUGGGGAGCAAACAGGAUUAGAUACCCCAGUAGUC